ensembl:lncRNA
CCUUUAUAUAUUUGGGUCCUCCAGUGAUGGGAACAUCUAUAUGUACAGUUUUUAUACCUUCUUGCUGAACUGACUCUUUUGUCAUUAUAUAGUGACCUUUCUCUCUUUCUUACAGGAUGCUGCCUGUUGGGUGGAGACCUGUCCAAAGCUGUUGGCCAGAACAUCUACAGGUGGUUGCUGACUCCCUGAAUACACUUCUCUCUGGCCAAUAACCAACCUACUGUGUCCAGAAGUUAUUCUUUCCAGUGGCUUCUUGGUCUCGCUGACUUCAAGAAUGAAGCUGUGGACCCUCAUGUGUCUUCCUGUGUUGCCCAGGCUCUGGAGUGCAGCGGUGCAACUAGAGGUCACUGUAGCCUUGACCUCCUGGGCUCAAGUGAUCCUCCCACCUCAGUCUUCUGUGUAGUGGGGACCACAGGUGCUUGCCACCAUGCCCAGCUAAGUAAUUAUUUUUAUUUUUUUUCAAGACAGGUCUGGUCAUGUUGCCCAGGCUGGUAUCAAAACUCUGGUCUCAACCAAUCCUCCCUCCUCAGCCUCCUGAAAUGCUGGUUUACAUAAGUGAGCCACCGUGCCCAGCCUAGAAUUCCUUUUAACAACAUUGUGUCCUCUGCUUUGCUUCCUGGGUUUCCCCUUCUUUGUUUAAUUAUAUUUGAUUCUGUUCCCAUACUCAGUCUCACUCAUCGUGCCAGUGUCGUAGGAUCUCCAGCUACAAGGUUCUCUCAGAGACAAACUCUAACUUCUGAAACCUAGCCUCCAUUGCACUCACAAAAUAUUGGUUUUCAUUCUGUAAAUAGGCUAUAAUAUUACCUCUCAAGAGUAUUAUAAAAAUUAAAUGAAACAAGGCCCAUGAGUGUACUUUAUAAGCUAAAAAAGUCCUAGGAGAUAUGACUUCUAUUUAUUAUGGAUUCAUAUGCUUUAUAAUUUUCUACCAGCAGUCACAAAUAAAUGUCUUUAAUGAGAUAAAUCUGCAUAGCCAAAUUCUAAAUCUCUAUUAUUAACUAUGUCCAUUAGGUAAGAUCAUGUAAAUGAUGCAUCUUAUGCACUGUUUUGGAUCCCUGGUAAUUCCCUUUCAUAUACUUUUCCCACCUCUAUCUGCCCUACUUUCUCUUCUUCCUGAGAAAUUUUUAAAAAUAGGAGCUAGUGUAAAAAAAAAAAAAAACCUCUAAAAGUUUUCUUCUUGGGAAUAUAUGUGUAAAAUGGGAACUCAUGAAUUUAUUUUUCCUUAAACUUCCCCUGUUAGUUUACCUGAUUCACUCAUCCACAUAAAAUUUACUGUAGUUGAUUUAGCCUUAUUUAGAAUUGCUUUUUCCCCUCUAAUUUUUUUUCAUUUUGUAACUUUUAAGUCCUCUAAAUAAAAAUAGCAACAAUUUCCCAGUGCUUCUCAUCUCUACAAUUAUUUGAUCACACAACUACAAUGUUUCCUAUUAUAGAAACAGGCUCAGCAUAAUAAAUGCUACAUAAUUUUCUCACAUCAAGUUUUACACAUUUAUUUUACUACUUUAAUAAGUCAUGACUACCACCAAUGACAGUAGUACUAAAUCAAAUACAAAGAGUUUUUGGUGUGCUGUGAUA